rnacentral:lncRNA from 1 species
UGCCCAUCCCCCCAACCUCCCAGGACACUGAUGUCAGCACAGUAGCAGCUUCCUUGACAAAUAUUUGUGGAGCUGAAUAAAAAAGCAGCACAGAAGAGCAAACCCCUUGAGAGAUGUCGGCCGACUCCCAGGCCUCCAGAACUUAGCUUGAUGGACUUUGACAGACAGGGAUUUGUUUCUUCGUGUUGUUUAGCUCAAACCAGAGCUAAACCUCCUCAUCGUCUCAAAUGACCUGAAAUGGUUUCCCAAGCAACCUGGGCAGACCCUGGGGAGUCCAGAAGGCAUUCAGGGGCCCUGGACCUCUGGGGCUGAAGAUCUGCCUGCCGCUGUCCUGGAGGUCACAGGUUCCAGAAGGGCAGCAGAUGCCUGAAGCCGCAGGGCUGCGGGAAACAUACCUCACUUGCCUGUGGUCCAGUUUGGAUAGUCCCAGCACAGCUUUACAGGAAUAGGCCCCAAACCGAACUUCCAAGGAGGAAGGAUCUGAUCGGCUCAGCUUGGCAACGGUUUGAUAUGCAAACUUACAAAAAAGGAGGCACAGAGGUGGUAUCUCCAACAUGCCAACUGCUUUGUGUUCAUUAUCAGGACUGACACAUAUGGUUGCUCAGAUUGUGCACUGCACAAUCACCAGGUAUGCCUUCUACAGCUUAGGGAAUGAUUCCUUUCAUCAUUCCAUUUAUCUUCAUGAUAAUGCUGCGAGGCAGUCAUUUGGCUCUCAAAUGAGGAAACUGAGGCUCCAAGGGGCUGAAUGAUAUCCCCCAAAAAAGAUGACUGAACUAGGAAUAUGGAGCCUUCUGGACCCCCUGAAGCUCUCGUGUCACCACAUCGGGCUGCAAUGCUGAAUGAGGAAGCGGAGGGAGAGUGGACUGGAAGGAACUUGACCCAGGAUGCUGAGUGCAAAAUUUGCCAUUCAGCUACAAGAAGUGCAGUUGGCAGACAGCCUUCAACUUCAGCAUCUUCAGAGUCUGCCUUGACUUUCAAGCUGAGGCCAUGGACUUCUCAGGAGCUCCUAGCCAAUGGCUGAGAACAACGUAAACACCCUCACAAACACACCCGGAAUAGUGUUUAGUCAAAUGUCUAAGCACUCCAUGGGCCAGUCAAGUUGACACACAAAACUUGCCACCCCAGCUUCCUACAGAAGCCAACUCCCUCAAGAAGAGAUGAAGAUUCGGCUCUAUGUUGGUGGCGUGGCGUUGUGUACCUAGAACAAUGCACAUAUCAACUCAGUUCCUAUUUGUAGGGAAUGUGAAGCUUACUGGGGAUGUUUGUGGGGAUCUUGGCUGCCCAAUGUGGGACCCCUGUUCCCUUUAGGUGUCUAACACAUGUUCUCUUUCUCUUUGAUGGCCAAGGCAUGGCUGGCCAAUGGGAUGCUUCUCUCUCCAAAGGAGCAGGGAGAGCUGGAGAUACCCUCCUUGCAAACAGCAGCUUGAGGAUCCAGCGCCUGGUGCACAGGUCUGCAAAUCGCCUGGGGUGACUCUGAUGAACUUGAUUAGUAUUGGCUGAACUUGGGCCAGGGUACGGGAUGGGUUCAAGCCUGUUCUGUAUGUUUGUAAUUUGGGGACUCAGGUUGAAAGGGUAGUGUCCAUCUGGAGCAAACUCAUGGUGAAGAGCUGGAGUGCAAGAGAUAGGAGUGGAAAUGUGCAAUGCCUCUUCAGACCUUGGCUUGGAACUGGCACAGCAUCACUUCUACCCAUAUUCAACUGAGCAGAACGCAUGACACAGUCAAGUCCAACAUCAGUGGUGUGGGGUAGUCCUGUCUGCUCACAGUGAAUCGUGAUACAGGGAGACAAGGAAGAAUUGUGGACUAAUAAUUUAAUCUAUCACACAGGGGGUGUUUUUUCACAACCUGAUAUCCUGAUUCCAACCCUCUGAGUGGAAUUUUUUUUUUUAAUUUUUUAGAGACAAGGUCUUGCUCUGUCACCCAGGCUGGAGUACAGUAGUGUGAUCAUAGCUCACUGCAGCCUCAAACUCCUGGGCUCAAGUGAUCCUCCUGCUUUAGCCUCCUGAAUACAUGAGACUACAGGCAUGCGCCACCAUGCCCAGCUUAUUUUUAUUUGUAUUUUGUGUAGAGCUGUAGUCUUGCAAUGUUGUCCAGGCUGGUCUUGAGCUCCUGGUCUCAAGUGAUCCACCCGCCUUGGCCUCUCAGGCAUGAGCCCCCGUUCUCAGCUGGAAUAUCUGUAUUUUGAAGAAGCUGCCCUGGUGAUUCUGAUGUGCAUUCUCACGGGGUCUCCCUGGCUAAGCUGGCUUUCCUUCAGAUCUGGGGCUUCUGGUCUCGAGGUCACCUGUGUUUCCGGGCCAAAGAUGGUUGUUAACUUGUUCCUCGGAUUGUUCAGUUUCUCAUUCCUGUGCUUUGACCAAGAGGCCAAGUCCAUCCAUUUAAAGUCAUCUCCAAAGACCGGGCUUGGUUCCGGACAUGGCGGGACUGGCUCAGGCAGGAGGCUGACUCAGCCGUGAGAAACAUUAAUGCCUGCCCAUGGUCAUUCUCUUCCUUCGGAAUGCCAGGCUCCUGGGGAUUAGAUGUAAGGAAACUUAUAGAGGCGUCCCAGGGCCACCACUUAUAAAUCAUGUGACCUUGGGCAAGCUAGUCCAUAAAAUAUGAGACUCGCUAUCUCCAUCCAUAAUGUUAGACUAAGACCUCUCAGGCAGACCCUGAGUUCUGUGCAUUGGACAGACCCUGAAUUCUGUUAGGAGGACAAUCUGCCUUCCUCAAGUAAGAUAAUGUCCCGCAUCCCUCUUCCUUUGGGCGACUUCAUUCUUCCCAUCCAGACUGUGGUUGGGGUGUGGUCACCAAUCAACUCCAUCUGGCCACAGGAUUGGGCAAAAAACUCAAUCAUGUGGACUAAUCAAACUCCCACAGUGAUUGGUCCAGGAAUAGACACAUGACCCAAGUUCCACCAAUCAGAUUCCUUCCCUAGGACUUUUUUCACCUGAGCUGGGGAAGAAUUAUCUUUUCACUCUCAAAGCAAGGUUGUUAGGUUCUAAGACUGAAGCUGCUCUUUAUCUCUUCUCCCAACACCUGGCUUACAUGAGCCCAUAAGUUUCCCUUCUUCUCGGACUAGUUUCAGUUGGGUUCUGACAGUGUACCUUACAAUCAAAAAGUCCUGAAGAAAGCGUUACUUUUUGAUGCCAUUGUAAUAAUGAUAAUGAGAGCCGCUUUAUUAUAUGCCUCCGGUUUGCCAGGUUCUGUGCCAAGAGCUUCCAUAUAUUAUCUCAUGGCUUACCUCGACCUGUAGUUAUUUGUGUGCCUGGUGGCACUCCCCGACUGCACCUAACCUCCUGGAGGUUGAUUUCAUCUCAACAUUGCCCAGGGCACCCCGCUUGGUGCCUGUCCUGCACCUGGUGCAUGGCAGCCUGACAGCCCCUCAGGGGGUCACCUUGGAGGGUCACACAGAGACGUGCAGUCCGUCACCACACGUGUUCCACAGGUCACAUGGAGUUGGCCCUCUGGCCAGAGGUUGGCUGGGGACUGAUCUUCAUGGGGUGGCUACAUAAAAGUGGGAGCCCUCCCCACUCCUGCCUCUCCUGCCGACCCCAGCCUCAGCCCCUUCUUUCCUAAGCAGCCUUUUCUAUUAUUAUUUUAACAGCUGGCUCCAGAAUUUUUUCUGGAUACUGUGUAGAGGGUAUGGGGAAUAAGGAACUUGCUGCUCCUGCUAAGCCACCCGGGGUGAAGGUGAGAUCUCCCUAGGGCUCCAGCUGGCUUGUGGAGGAAGAAGUAGCAUCUAUGCUGGGACUGACAGGUGGGCAGGAGUCAGGAGUUGGGAGAGCAGAGAGGGGAACCGCACAGAGAGGACCCAGGCUCAGGAGGCUGCGUGGGCACCUGAGGAACUGGCCAGAUGGUGGAGCUCAGGGAGGCCUGGGGUGCGAGAUGAGGAGGAGCCUGGACGUCCCAGCACUGGCUUUCAUUAUUCUAGCACAUCUCAGGAUUUUUUAAGAAUAGAAAACCUGGCAUUUAUAUUGGCAACGAAAAAUGCUUGAAAUCUAAAUUAUUCUCAUCUGAAGCUAGAAAUAUCCAUAAUGGGCCAGGUGUGAUGGCUCAUGCCUAUAAUCCCAGCACUUUGGGUGGCCGAGGUGGGUGGAUCACCUGAGGUCAAGAGUUCGAGACCAACCUGGCCAACAUGGUGAAACCCCAUCUCUGCUAAAAUACAAAAAUUAGCCAGGCGUGGUGGCGGGUGCCUGUAAUCCCAGCUACUUGGGAGGCUAAUACAAGAGAAUCUCUUGAACCCAGGAGGCAGAGGUUGCAGUGAGCUGAGAUCGUGCAACCGCACUCCAGCCUGGGUGACAGAGCCAGACUCCAUCUCAAAAAAAGGAAAAAGAAAUACCCAGAAUGUUACAUGUGCACUCAAGCACUGAAUUGAAUGAAGUACUGGUUUUGGUGGUAACUACAGCUUUCCAUUGCUUAAAACCCUUUCAGGCUGGACGUGGUGGCUCAUGCCCAUAAUCCCAAUGCUUUGGGAGGCUGAGGUGAGAGGAUCAUCUGAUCCAGGAGUUCAAGACCAGCUGGGGCAACGUAGCAAGACCCCAUCUCCACAAACUUACAAAAAAUUAGCUAAGUAUGGUGGUGCAUGCCUGUAGUCCCAGUUACUCCAGAGGCUAAGGCAAGAGGGUUGCUUGAGCCUGGGAGGUUGAGGUUGUAGUGAGCUAUGAUCAUGCCACUGAACUCCAGCCUGUGUGACAGAGCGAGGCCCUGUCUCAAUCAAUCAAUCAAUCAAUCAAUCAAUCAAUCCUUUCAAAAUAUCUUAUUGCUGUUUAGUUUCCAUUUUCCAGGUUUUUAAUGAGGCUAAGGAGCUUUUCAAAGGUUCACUCUUCCUGCCUAGCCAUUUGGGCUGUGUAGUUCAAGAGGAUCUGUAGCAUCUUUUUACAAAGAAGAAGGUUAAGGCGUUAGGGGAGGAGCAGGGAGAACAGGAGGAAGGAGCUCCCAGGCCCUGUUUUCAGCCCUUCCUUCCCCUCCUCUUUUCUUUUUUGAGGCCUGCUCCAUUCUCUUAGGGCCUGACCCUGACCUGCCAACCCCAGAUAAGGUGUUGUGACUAGGCCCUCCUUCCCCCAGGGUUCCCCCUGGAGAGACCCAAGGCAAUGGAUGGAGGAGCAUUGGCCCCACCCCAUCUCCUCACCCCACUUAAGGGAACAGCAUCUGAGGACAGGUGGCAGCAGGUAGUGUGGCCCCACCUCACUUCACAUUGCAGGGAGCUCUGUCACUUUGCUCCUUUGUUGCAAAUGCCAUUGGAAAGGCCAGUGCUGUGCUGCCUAGUGAGGUCUUCAAGGUGUUGGCCGGAUGCUUGAAGAAAGUGGAAGCCAUGGAAGGUUGUAUUCAGGAGAGGGGCAUGGCCCCUUCUGAGCAUGUUUCCACUGGUGGGAGGCCAUAGAGAGAAUGAUAAGGAAGGAGAAUGAGGCCACGUGGAUGACAGCUAACCCCUGCUGAGAGCCCAUUCUGAGCCGUGCACUGUAUGCCAUUUACUGGCAAAAGAGCAUGAGUAGGUGGUCAAGGUCGCCCAGCUGACAAGUGACAAAGUCAGAGCCAUCACAUUUCACCUGAGAUUCCUCCCCAGUUGUUUCAGGCAUGUUCGAUUUGUUUCCUAGCAAUAACUUUGCAAGGAUGGUCCUACUGUCCCCAUUCACAGAUGGGAAAACUGAGGGCAAAUGGUAGAGCCAAGUAAUGAAUGUGUUCUGCUUGGUCUUUACUUCUCAUGGAUACUCAAGGAAGGCAGCAGGUCUGGGCAAAGAAGGAAGGUGUUUCUUCACCAGAAGCAAAAUUUGUGUUGGAAAAGGGAUCUUAGAAAAGCCCCAGCCUCGACAUUCCUGAGCUCAGCCUCAGGGCUUUAUACAUACUUUGAUGAACACUUAAUAUGUUGCAAUUUUUCUGUUCUACCACAGGGUCAGCGCAUACAGUUGUAUAGGUUAUGCACUGCACAACUCAUGGAGUUCCAUGGCCUAAACCUGAGGGACCCAUCUUGCAGUCUCUGAGAUGGUGUGGAGUGGCGUCCACAGAUGAGGGCUUUGCUGACAAGUAGCGGGGUUUGAAUCUAGUCUUGGUUACUGGGUCGAGGAGCUUUUUCUAUUCUCCUUGAUCCCAUUUCCUCAUCUGUGAAGUGGAGAUGGUAUCAUCAUCUCUUCUCCCUCGGGGACUGUCAGGAUAGCAGGAGAGAACACACGGCAUAUGGCCCUUUACACAGGGCCUGGUACUAGUGGGGCCUUGGUAGAGUUCAGUUUCUCAUACUUCUGUCUCUCUGAGUGGACUUGAGGGCAGGCAGAGGCCCUGUCUAACUCAUUCCUGCAUCCCCAGCGCCCAGCGCUGUCCUUGCACGUGGGAGGGACUAGGCACCCAUUUGCUAAGGGACCAGAGAAAUCAUGCUGGAGGCAGAGAGGGGAUUUGGGGAACACUGGGGCAGCAGGCCCCAGUCCGGCAUCCCCACCCCACCUUUUCCCUCUUGGAGACAGCCUGGUCUGAGUUAUUUCCCUUCCCGACACUUCCCUGCCUCCAGGGCACAUUUUCUCCAGGUGAGUCCACCCAGGCAGAGGGCGAAGCCAGCAGGCACAGGCUGGAUUCCUGCAGAGGCGCGCAUUUCAUUUGGCCUGCACCAUGGCUUCACAUUUUUAAAAUUAGUUGCCGAUAUUUUACAAUUUGGAGAUUUCACCUAGAAACCUGGAUUUCCAGCUAUUCUUGAAAAAUCAAAAGAUCUAGCAGCCCUGGGCCUGCAGCUGGCAGCUGGUGUGCAGCAGCCACUGUUCCUUUGUGUUGGGUAUAUGCUGCUCAGUUUGCCACCAGAUCCACCUGGUCCAAGUCCCCCUCCCUUAUGACUCCUGCCCUUCCCCUGGUGAACCUGCAACCCCUGGCUCUAUGGAGCGCCCGGGCCAUCCCACUAACCUCACAGGUCUUGGUUUGGCAAAUCAUGACCGUGCCAGGGUCUUUGCCUGUGGAACGAGGAUCUGUGGGGGUGCCUUCCAAAUGUGCCAACCAAUGCUCACGACCAAGCCUUCAGUGUAACGAUCUGCCCACUUUCUCCUCCUCCCCCUGCCUCCGUGAGCCAGCGAAGCUGCUGCCCUGUUUGGGGACACAAACAUACACACGUUAUUAGAACCUCAGAUCAAAGGCGGCGUCCUACAGCCUGCCUCUCAAUGGUCCCUUUGUGCAGGCGGAAGCCUGCAAGAGAGUUAGAAUCCAGGGAGAACAGGAGGGGCUGGAGGGGGGCUCAAAACAAAGAUACUUGUCACCCUGAGAAGUCCGCAGAAAUGAUGUUAAAAGAGGCGCCAGGUGGAGGAUGUACCCCGGCUCGCUGCUGGAAGAUGCAAAUGGAGAAUUCUCAGUUCUGCAGAGGAGAAGAAAACACCCCUGUCCCUUGUGGUUUCAGAGGAAGGGGUGACAGUGGCUGCCCACCCCCUCCGCCAGCAGCAGCCUGCGUCUGCCUUCCUGGCCUCGCCAGGGGUGGAUGUGAUACUGGCAAGGGCUUCUUGGAACGAAAAGGGUUGGUUUGAACAAAGAAGUGCUUUGAGAGUUCAGAUGUGGAGCCAGGAACCCUGCCUGCCAUGGGAUGCAGGGAGAGGGGGUGGCGAGCAGCCCACAGCGACCCCAAGAAGCUGCUCCAACCCCUGGGACUAUGGAGCUCUACAGCUGUAGAGACCACCAGGAAGUGGACUGCAGGCCCCUGGCCUCUCCAUUCAGAUUCUGCAAAGAGAUCCUGAUGGGUUGGGCCAAUGGGUCAGGCAUCCAGUCAGCUCUGGCUAAGGGGUGAAGGAGUCAGGUGUUACCAACGUGGUGGCAGGGGCCACCUUGAAGCUGUGUUCUGUGCCAUGGAAGAAGGAAGAGGAGGAGGAAGCUAAGCUGGAAGGGAAGGCAGGUUCUAGGCUCCUGGAGUCAGUAGUUGGAAUCUCAGAUGGGAAGAAACCUUAAAAGUCAUCUGGUCCAGUAUUUUCCAAAGCAUGUUCCAUGAACUUGUUUUCCAGAAAUGGUUUCCUGGUCUGGUGAGUGGGAGUUCGAUGAGAGUGGCAGUUGUCUAUUUUGUUCACCGAUGUAUCUUAGGUGACUAAAACAAUGGUUGUCACAUGGCUGGCCCUUCAUAUUUGUUUCCAGAUGGAAGACUCUCUUUCUAGUGGUGGAACAUUAGUUUUGCACUGUGUUGGGACAACCUGAUGUAGUGAAAACAAGCCUGGGCAAUGAAAUCAACAGAUUGGAGUUCAGUUCCUAAUUGGGUCAUGGAUGAACUUUGUGACCUUGGGCAAGUGAGUUCACCUCUCUGAGUUGAAUAGGUUCCCUCCUUUCUAGAACAAGUAUGAGUCUGCAUCAGAGAGUGGUUGCGAGGGCUACACAUGAUGGAGGAUGAGGACUGGCACAUCAGAAGUACUGAAUGAAGAAUUGUAACAUAAAAAUGACAACAGUAAUAUAUUUUUGUGGUUUCAGCACUCUUCAAAUGAAACCACCUGGCCAACAGGAUUUUAGUGUACCUGCUUAUAACAUUAGCCUUCGUUUCCACCAAAAAGGGUGUUAAAAAAGGAAGCUUGGAACAUGAAAGUAAGACACUUGGAUGAAGAGAUUUAUGACUCUGGGGGGCUGUGAAUUCCUAAUGUCCUUUUGAGACAUGUAGAUCUUCCAGAGCGAUGCUGCCCAAUGCAGUAGCCACUAGCCAAGUGCAAAUGGUCACUUGCAAUAUGGCUAGUCUUUGAGAUGUGUUUUAAGUGUAAAAUACACACUGAAUUUUAAAGACUUAGCGCAAUACAAAGAAUGUAAAAUAUCUCAUUAUAUCUUGAAAUUAUACUAUUUUGGAUAUAUGGUGUUCCCUUGGUGUCUUUGGGGACUGGUUCCAGGAUCCUAGAGGAUACCCAAAUCCCCAGAUGUCAAGUCCGCUAUAUAAAAUGUCCUGUAGUAUUUGCAUAUAACCUACACACAUCCUUCUGAAUACUUUAAAUCAUCUCUAGAUUCCUUGUA